rnacentral:rRNA from 2 species
CGAACAGGACCGUGAAACGACUCUACGCCGAUGAUAGUGCGGAUUCCCGUGUGAAAGUAGGUAAUCGUCAGGC